AUUGAACGCUGGCGGCAUGCCUUACACAUGCAAGUCGAACGGUAACAGGUCUUCGGAUGCUGACGAGUGGCGAACGGGUGAGUAAUACAUCGGAACGUGCCCGAGAGUGGGGGAUAACGAGGCGAAAGCUUUGCUAAUACCGCAUACGAUCUCAGGAUGAAAGCAGGGGACCGCAAGGCCUUGCGCUCACGGAGCGGCCGGUAGCAGAUUAGGUAGUUGGUGGGAUAAAAGCUUACCAAGCCGACGAUCUGUAGCUGGUCUGAGAGGACGACCAGCCACACUGGGCAUGAGACGCGGCCCAGACUCCUACGGGAGGCAGCAGUGGGGAAUUUUGGACAAUGGGCGCAAGCCUGAUCCAGCCAUGCCGCGUGCAGGAUGAAGGCCUUCGGGUUGUAAACUGCUUUUGUACGGAACGAAAAGACUCCUUCUAAUAAAGGGGGUCCAUGACGGUACCGUAAGAAUAAGCACCGGCUAACUACGUGCCAGCCGCCGCAGUAAUAC
rnacentral:rRNA from 1 species